AGCGAACGCUGGCGGCAGGCUUAACACAUGCAAGUCGAGCGGGCGUAGCAAUACGUCAGCGGCAGACGGGUGAGUAACGCGUGGGAACAUACCUUUGGUUCGGAACAACACAGGGAAACUUGUGCUAAUACCGGAUAAGCCCUUACGGGGAAAGAUUUAUCGCCGAAAGAUUGGCCCGCGUCUGAUUAGCUAGUUGGUGAGGUAACGGCUCACCAAGGCGACGAUCAGUAGCUGGCUGAGAGGAUGAUCAGCCACAUUGGGACUGAGACACGGCCCAAACUCCUACGGGAGGCAGCAGUGGGGAAUAUUGGACAAUGGGCGAAAGCCUGAUCCAGCCAUGCCGCGUGAGUGAUGAAGGCCCUAGGGUUGUAAAGCUCUUUUGUGCGGGAAGAUAAUGACGGUACCGAGAGAAGAAGCCACGGCUAACUCUGUGCCAGCCGCCGCAGU
rnacentral:rRNA from 1 species